AUGGUGAUUGUGCCGGGUUUGUGCUCUGGCUCUUCUGUUGGGUUUUUCCAUGGUUGUAUAUGGCAUAUUGGCGUUAUCAGGAGUUGUGGUUCUGGAUUUGUUCGUUGCUCUAUAGAUCUAUUAUUUGAAGAACUGAUGAUAUACAUUGUUUUCUGCCCACCCGAAAAGCGCUCACCCAGACAAUCACGUGGAGGUGCUUGUCAAGUAUGGGUGGAAAGCUUGACAAUUCGUUUUUAUCUCUAUGAUCUCCUCAUGACCACAACCAUAGUGCAGGAUGCUGCUGCCCAAGUUGUCAUUUAUCUUUGGGUAUUCCUUAAUGUUGGGUCUACUACAUGUCCAGAUCACUAG
rnacentral:rRNA from 1 species